rfam:Ciona savignyi cont_10663, whole genome shotgun sequence.
GCUGCGAUGGCCGAGUGUUAAGGCGUUGGACUCGAAAUCCAAUGGGACAUUCCCGCGCAGGUUUGAAUCCUGUUCGCAGCG